UUAAUUCUGAGCAGACGUCCAUAUAUCAUACACUGUACGAGGGAUCGCUAUAUAUCACUACUAGUGGUAGUGGCGGAUCUUAGGGGCCUAGGGCUGCCACCUCAAUCAGAACAAGGGAAGAAGGAGGAGAAAGUGAAUGGACAAGAAGAAGAGAAGAGAAAGGAGGUGAGCGAAGAGGAAGAAGAAGGUUUAAUUUCAACCGCUACUAUGGCUGUGAGCUGGAUCCGCCCACAUGACCAGUGCUCAAGAUCGAUGCACCCAAGUUUUCCCCCCUCAAAGGAAAAGCUGCAUGUCAUCACAUAUAAGGCGACAAAUGGACUGACACAAAGAUCUAUAAUUUGAAUAUGCAAAAGGAUGUAUGGAGUGUUCCUCCCUAAUUUGUGCCGAACGAAUAUGGCUUGAUUCCUUUACCGUGCUAAUAAAUCAUCAUGACGUUCGUUCGAUCA